AAUAAGUGCAGCCGUGGAUAUCCGUACCCAACGUUUGACCGUCCGUCUUAUUUGAAAAAUUUGAAAAUAUUUAGUCACACAUAAAGUACUAUUCAUGUUUUAUCAUCUAAUAGCAAUAAAAAUACUAAUCAUAAUAAAUUUUCAAAUAAAACGAACGGUUAAACGUUGAACGUGAAUAAUGCAAAACUGCACUUAUU
rfam:Oryza glaberrima chromosome 7 Oglab07_0138_25, whole genome shotgun sequence.